rnacentral:lncRNA from 1 species
GGGCCCCCGAAUAACCAUAAGUAAGGGAGACUGUAAACCUAUAGUUUGGAGGAUGCAAAUCCAAUAGUAGCCUCGAUGAAAUCAACUAUCUACAGCCUAUUCUAAGCCUGAAAUGGGUGGAAAUGAGGGUGGUGAGAUUAUAUAAUCCCAGUGAGUAAACAAACAUCAUAAAAAAUAUCUAAACUUGAGUAAAUGGAGACGAUUAAAAUAUUCCAUCUGAAUAUGUAUUUCAUAACAUAAAUAUUCAUUUCAUUUAAAUAAUCAACAUGGCUUACGAGUAUCUUAAAAGCUUGGCUCCUACCAAAAUCAUUUUCGGGAAUACCAUGGCUGAGGCAUUUAACUGAAUCCUCCAAGGCUGUUAAAAAUUUUGUAUACACGUAAACAUAUUUUUAGUUUGAAAAACACAGUCGUUCCUUGGCGUUAGCGGAGUUCAUCAUCACGAGGUGGUUCGGCGUGACGUGAACUCUAACCAUACCUCAGGAGAUACCCUACGCAUCUUUCGAACCGAGGUACGUAUAUAAUCGGAUUUUGUGCCCCUCUAAUAGGCUGGUCCACAGAACCCGCCCACUGCAGCAAGCUAAACCCACCAUACAAUAAAAUUUGCAAUAGCAUGACAUGGCAAUUAUUUCACAAUCCAGCCUCUCAAGGCUAAAUACAUAGUUCAUAUAUUUCAACACAAAUACCAAUUCAACCAUUCAUGCAAAUAUUAUCAUAAGCCGUUCGAUUCAAACCAUGAAUUUACAACACAUGAAAACAGUCUCCAAUUACUCUAUUUUCAAACCACCAUUCAAUUUGAAGACAAUGUUAUAAAACCAUUUCAUUAAAUCACAUUUUAGUUACUAAACACAAGAAUUCACCAUUUAACUCAUUUUCUAUAAAAUUCACAAAAUCGAAUAAAAAGACCACUUUAGAUAAUUAAAAUGAUGAUAAGGUUACUCACUAUUUUGAAAGUCGAAUUUUUGGAGAACUCCGACUAUCGAUCCUCGGGUAUAAUUUUUUUGCCUUUAUCGGAGGAUUCACCACCUAGACAUAAUGCACAAUCAAGCAAUUUACCACAUUGGUGCUAAAUCGUUAUAAAACUAUAUGGAUGCAUGAAAUGGAAUGCAAAUUGUUCAGAUUAUCGUCUAAACACGGUGUUCUACACAAAUUCAAUUGUGUACCUAAAUAAUACGGUAUUGGCCUAAUUCGAUCUAUCACACGAUUAAUUGGCCAACAUAUCCAAUUCAACUCCAAUUAAUUCCAUUUUUCUUCUAAUUCUCCAAACCAUCAAACACAAGUCAAUUAGCAUAAAAUUUAGCAAAAUCAUCUUCACAUUUUCUCUUGGGAAUUUCGGCCAUGGUGAGUGCAUCAACACUAUGAUUUUCCUACUCGAUUUUCUCACCAUAAUUCAUCAUUUCCUAACCAAUUCACUUGAAAUAAAAUCAAAAUCAUCAUCAAUAUUCCACAUGGAGAAUUCGGCCAAUGAUGGGUGCUGGGAGAAAGUGAAUUUUUCUUGUUGGUUUUUCAUGCUACACAUCACUAACUAACUAAAAACACUAAAAUAUCUUUAAAUCUAACCAAAUCAAGCAUCAAAACACCUCUCCCCAUGUCCGGCCAGCAAGAGACCCAUCAUGAAACCAUGUGAUUCAACCAUGGAAAAUGCAAAAGAAUGCAUAGGAAAGGUAGAUCACAAGCUAGAAUUGAAAAAUCUUACCUUUUUUCACUUGUUUCCUUGAAUUUUCACACUUUUCCCUUGAAUUUUUCCACCUAGGGUUUUUGUUCUUCUUUUCUUCCUUUGUUCUUCCUUUG